AGUGUUCUCCCCCUGACCUGUUUAUAAAGACACCACGGGAAAGACAUUAUGGUUUUAGUAUAUAUAUUUGGCCUGCCUGACUUACCAAGUGUAGGGUCAGUAAGCAUACAGAUUGAAGGCUAGAGAAAUUAUCGUGUAAGAAAGGAAUAACUAGGGAUGAAUGGAAAGCUUAUGCAUGUCCUGGGCUCACAAAAAAGACUCCAAAAGGAGCAACCUCCAGAGAGAGAUCCUUCCUCAGUGGAAGUCAGCCCUUAAAUGGGGUCUAAGAGAGGUGGAGCCUGGCUCCACCCCUCCUGAUUACACAGGUGGAGUUGCUUUCACCUGUGCCCCCAUGGCUGACUCUGUGCUUGCCUCAGGUGCUCAGUCAGAGGUUCAGGCUGUGAUUCAACAGUUCCUAUACAGAAACUAUUUUCAAAAUAAUACUUCAGGUGAAAGCUAAGAGAUUCUCUUCUGCAGAAAGUUGCUGCUUUCUUCCAGAAGCAGCAUUUCAGCUGAGCUUCUUGCUUCACCUGGAAAUACUUGAAAGGAAAAAUUAUCCUUAUACAGUUUGGCUCUGACCCUGAAAAAUAUUAACGUGACAACCAUAACUUCCUGUAUGUGCAACAAUAGGGACUAACAACACCUGUGAUCUAGCUGUUUCCACACAAAGGUGUAACAGCCUGCCUGGCUCUGCAAAUUUGCAGAAUUACUGGCACGACUACCAGAGGGACAGGUCACCUACUGAAGUCUACUUUGCUAUUUCUAUGUAUGUGUUUUUUAGUCCUUCCAUAAGGUAUGUUUGUGUUUCUGCAGAGCAUAUGACUUUACUGCACUAGUAAAAGCAGAUGGAGGAAGGAGAGCUCUGUGUUCCCUUGUAGCUGUGUUUCCCAAAGCUCUGCAGCCUGCUGUUGAGAAAGCCAGCUUGGUUGCUGUUGCCUGUUUAUAAAACUCUCUGACUUGGCCCUCAUCUCUCCUAUCAUGACUGUAUCAAACGUCCCUUUGGUGGCCUGCUAUCUGCUGAGUGAUGCUCGCAUCCCACAGUUCCUGCCUAAGGCACUGACACCCACUGUCAUAACAGAAACAGUGGUCAGCCUGGCGAGUACGUGGAGAUUUCUGAAUUUGGAGCAUCUCCAACACAGUGAAAUGCAAGGUGAGAACACAGACUGGAUUUUCAACAGAAAAUUUUCAUUAGGUGCAGAUUUGCUCAGCUGCUUUGUGAUUUACCACCAGCACAGCAUAUCCUCAGACCCUACCAUGCGGCAUCUUUAAACCUACAGCAAAACAGAAGAUUCUAUUAAAGGGAAAUACUAAGGUCAAUCACCAAAAAAACGUGUAAAUACCCGAAAGCUACAUGUUUGAGAUCAUUUCUUUAAAAACAAUAUACGAUUUUGUGGAGAAUGCGCAGUUAUGAAAGAUUACAGUAGUGAAAACAAGGUGGAUUUUAUCACAGCAGAAAACCACACCAUGGCGUAGUCAGAAGUGAAUUUAGCCCUUCAAGAUCAAGUGUGAUCUUUGGCCAAAUUAUUAUAUUUAACCUCACUGUGAAAAAGAUGUCCUAAAUUAUGAAGACCCUGCUCUGCCCUUGAAUAAGCACAUCAGACACAGACCUCAGUGGGAGGAGUACCGGCUGCUUUUAUGGUCAGGAUUCAGUCGAGAGAAUUAAGCCUUUCUGAAGCAAAACUAAAUUGCAACAGCAAGUGUUGUACUGUCAUUUUAAUGACAGCAGAAGUCUGCGGAAUGGAGUUUUGCAGUAAAAGUGUGGCAUCUGGUGGUCCAGAGAAGAAAUGGCAGCCCACUCUGAGAAGGCCGAACCAUCUCAUCAGCUUAGGGUGUCUGAUGCUGAAUUGUGCAUGUAGAGAGCAGAAUGAAUUCUCAAGGUAUUGUGCAAGCCACAAAGGCUGGGAUCAAGUUUCAUCUCACAGUGUAUUUACAGAGCAUGCCUGCCAUUGUCAGACUUGUCAACACUCAUGGUCUCUUUGCUUUUUACCCUAUGCUUAUCCCAUCUCUUCUUUCAUUAAAAAAUGUGAAUGUUUCUGUCCUUGUGGAUUUGUAAAGGGAAAAUAUAAUCCCCAAAGGCUUAGAAACCAGACAGCAAAUUAAAAAUGCCAACACUGAUUAUUCUUUGAGCUUCUAUUAUUUUAAAGGCAAUCUCCUGUCUUUCCAGGUCUGAUUUGUGGAUUCUGAAUUGCAAAGUUCAGCGAUCCUUGCACUUGGCAAGCACCUGGAAUUGAAGCAUGUGCAACCAAGCUCUGUAUGUAAUUCUGUAAAAUGAGAGCUGUUUAUCUCAGCGGCUGAAAUAUUCAUUAUUGAAAAUAAGCAUUUCAGUGUUCAGAGGCGGAAUCGUGGGCUGAGAAUAAAAACGACCUGGGAAAUAGUAAAAAACUCCAUGUCUCUAAACGGCGUAGGGUAUGACCCUGCAGAAGGGCGAUGGGAGAACUCCUUCCGCCUUGGAGCUGCCUUCUGACUCUGUCCCAUCGUUUCAGCUUGGCUGCUAUUGGUGGUGGCAGAAAAAUACCGGAAGAAAUUUACAACAGUUUUGGCUGAAAGAGAGGAGGAUGAUUGAGAAAAGGGAUGAAAUUGGAAAACACCAACCUUUGCAUCUUUUCCAGAAUGUUCUAGUAACUGGCAGGCAAUAUGGGCUUUGUGUUAAAAAAGGAGCCUAUUACCACCUCUACUGAGAAAGCACCUGCCAUUUGGCCACGUUUUAUGCCUGAGAAAUCACCCCACUUCAGUGUAGCAGCGAAAUGCUCUCAGAUUCUUUCCUUGCUUUGCUUUCUUUUUGCACUCAGACUUUGCAGGCUGCAGACAGUAUUCUCAAAGGGCAGUGGAACUGGCUCCCUCAAGCCCAGGCCCCAGUAAAUGAAUUUGGGGUCACUUGGGAACUUGCUUGUCCUGUAUUUCAGUGGCUGUUUCCUGGCACUGAUUCAGCAGGUUAAGAGCCAGUUUGAAAUGCUGAAGGAACAAAAAGCAGAAAAUGGAUAUGGGGGGGAAAUUUAGAUGGGGACAAGCAUAUAGUGGAAGUUUUCCACUUUAGAUUAGAUUAUUAUGAUUAUGAUCAUUAUUAUUAUUAUUAUUAUUUAAGGAUAGAAGGCAAAGUAAAGGCAACAGGAACAAACCAUGAAGGAAAAGCAGAUAUUCAGAGGAAAGGCUGGGGCAAAGGAUAGCGUGUGAGCUGCCUGCCCCUGGCAGUGGUGCUGGGAUUGUUUGAGCUGGUGUGGUAAAAGGAGUCUGUUCUCUUUAAAAUGCUAGCCUCAGAAGCAAAGCCAAACAGCUAUUGUGCCAUCCUCUGCAGUAACAUUUUGAUGUGCAAUCUCCACAUUGAUAUGAUUAGUUGUUAAGUCAAAUAAGAGACAGCGUGACAGAAAUGUUAUUUAACUGAUUUGCCAAACUGAAUAAAGUAUAGUCUGGUCUUGUUUACAGUCAAAAUGGGAAAGUGUUUACCAGGAUAUCCAGGGGUCUCCAACAAGAGAAAAAAACAGAUCCAAAGUAAACACUUUCCAAUGCUGCCUUAGAGAAUGGUUCCCAUCUCUGGUUCUGCUACAACAUUUCUGCUACUGCUGAACAAAGUCCUUAAAUCCGGCUUCUUCCCUAUGGUUGCUUGCUGGGAACAGAACAACCAAUCGAUCAUAGCCACUGCCAAAAUCAGCAGGGAUGUGCUUCAGAGCUACGAUGCAUUACUUAGUACUGCAUACACAAAACGAAUCAGGGCCUUAGUAUCUAAAUUAAAUCCCUCUGUGCCUUAUUUCCCCUUCCACUAAAUGAGGAUAUAACAACCUCACUACACCAUGAACAUGUGAAGAUAAACUAAUCCAGGUUUGUAAAGUCAAAUUUAAGUUGUGUGUACUCACAGCAAGGGGCCAUACUCUGAAAACUGAGGAUAAAAGGAAUGUUAAGCAGAUGCUUUUUAAAUGAGUAUUGUGCAGCCUGUGCAGUCAGAGAAACAGAUGUCUUGUAGAAAUACGGCUCAUAAUCAUGUAACUUCAGUUGUUACUGAGUGUGGGUGGGAGAAGGGAACUACCUUACCCAAGCUCUGAACACUGGAACGUACAUCCCUACAGACAUUACUUUUUAGGCAUGUUUGGGAUAUUGUCUGAGCAUCCUGAAGAUGAGCAGAAAAUAAAUUUUGAUAAAGAACUUACACCUCCUUUCAAAAACUAAUAGCAACACUAUAAAAAUUGCAAACUUUGGCCUCAACACUGACCUUGUAUUCCUGUCUUGUCAGGUCCAGAAACACUGGCAUUUCCUCAAUGUAGACAUGAAUGACUGUGGUUGUCAUAAAUACUUUGGCAACCCAAGGAGCAGGACUGCCUGCAUAAUUCUGUAUAUUUGCAACACUAGUAGCUCUUCUGUGGAAAACAAGGAACUUCAGUCUUCUCAGCAAGGGAAAAUUUCUUUAAAAAUAAAUAAACAAAUAAAUAAGCAAAAGGAACUAAUUGCAAAAACUAAUAAAAGGAAAAUUUAGUUGAUGUUGAAUUAAGGGAAUCAAUCACAAUGUGGUGGGAUUGCAUCUGUGCCACCUCCGUCAGCAAAUUUAGAGUUCCCUUGGAUCAUGUGUCUCUUAUCCACAUACUAAUGGAGGGCAGUCUGACAUAAGUUAUUAGAUGUGAUUAGAUCACAUCCUAUGAUGAUAUAGCACCAGUAAAUGUUUUCGAGUGCUGCAUUAAAAGCUGAAUGUUUGGGUAAAUUAGUCCAUCCUUUUUAAUUCUGUCACUUAAAAAAUGGUUUUAAACAUUUAAUCAAACCCGUACACAAUAUUAACAAGUGCUGAGCAAGAAAGAGAGCCUAUUGAUCACAGGUGAUAUAUCCAGAAGCAAUACACUGUUUACAGUAAGUUCUCAACUGAGUAACGAUUUAGUCAUUUACAGGGAAAAUCCUUACAAAUAAAAGUCUAAUACUGUGAUACUCAGUCUUCCUGAUGGAAUCCCAUUGCCAAGACUGAGUUUUGUGCAGCACUUCACACACAUUUUAUUGAAACUACUGUACAGUGCCUUAUGUGAAGGAUAUAGAAGAACAUAAAGAAUUGUGCAGUAAAUUUUGUA
ensembl:lncRNA